UUGUCUUAUUGGUUGAUAAAUAAAGCACUGCUGGCCAAUAGGCAAGCAAGAUAGGUGGGACUAGGGUUCAAAGAGAAUUCUGGGAAAUGUAGUAAAGAGAAGUUGGUUGGUCCAGUGUGAAAAAGCAGAUUACUCUGUUCUGAACUUCACUGCCAAGGAGCAAAGUUGACGUCAUUAAAAAGCUGAUAUCAGAGAGACACAGGUUUUUAUAGUCAGUUAUUAUAAGUUUUCCUUUGUCCAUUUUGGUUUUGUGUUUGCUUUGUUUUGAGAAAUGUGCCAAGAAAUUCUAAACUCAGGCUUCUUUUAUUCCUAACAUUUUCCUUUCAUUUUUACAUCAAGGACAAUGUUGGAAACAAAGCAAGAAUUCUAUAAGAAGAAUGUACAGGUAUCCUCAGAUGACUGCUCAGCUUUACGUCAGAAUAUUUUCAGUCCCCUAAAAGAAGUAAAGCAGGGCAUUUAUUCUAAACCAGGAGGACACCGUCUUUUUAUCCAGAAGAAACUGGAGUUGAAAAAAAAAAGUACUAUGAGGAACCCAGGAAGGGAGCUCAGGCUGAAGACGCUCUGCUCAAGUUUUUGCAGUCCAAGGAGAAUGUGACUGAUACAAUUCUACAGGGAUCCACAAAGGAACAAGCUGGACUACUAGAGGAGGGAUUCCAGCAGGAAAUAAAAAAAAACUUGAGGAUGAAAAGAAGUAUCUCCGGAAAGGAAACUGAACCACAGAUGGCAUUGUAAGCUAAGGGUCUAAGAAUAACGCCAUUCUGCCACUCAAACAGAGCUGAUCAGGGUCACAUCAAUUGAUAAUGAUUGGGUCCUCCAUCAGAAAACUAAAAAUCUGGAAAGAUGUGCAGUGUGAUCAUUGAAAUCCUGUUUAUCUUCUUAUAAGAUUGUGCUCCAAGAAUAUCAUUGACAUCUCUACCACAAGAGAGGCGUCAACAGGGCUACUCAGAAGAAAGUCCCUUUUCCAGAUAAUCACCAGGAGACAAAUAGACACUGAUCACAGUCUGUUUUAAAAAAUAAUUUAUUUAUUUUUAUUGUUUUAUGUGUGUCAGUGUUUUGCCUGCAUGUAUGUCCAUGUGGGGGUGACAGACCUUGGAGUUAUAGACAGUCAUGAGCUGCCAUAUGGGUGCUGGGAUUUGAACCCAGGUUCUCUGGAAGAGCAGUGCUCUUUAACCUCUGAGAUAUUUCUUCAGCCCCAUACUGAGCACAUUCUUAAAUGGUGGCACACAAUUAGGAACCAAGUUGUCCAGGGAUGUGAUGGCUCUGAAAGACAGGGAAAGCCAGCCUCAUUUGUUUUGGAGACAAUAUAAAGUUCUGGAUUAUAUCAAAAGUGCUCAACCUUUCAGCAAUGGCAUGAUUUGUGGACACUGGCAAUGAGCAACCCUAUCAAUACACUCCAUCAUAAAUCAAGACAGCUGCAUGGAGAUCUAGAGUACCCAUAUACAAUAUCCACAGGAAGAUGGAAGAAGCCAUUAGCAUGGCAAGGAACUGCUCCACUGUUGAAGAAGGAAAUAUUCCAGUUCAUGUGGAUGGAAACUGUAACAGGACAUUUCCAAACUCUAAGGGUUGACACGGACUACAUAGUAAUACGAUGACAACUAAGCACAAUGUAUAGCUUAUGUACUUAUGUAUAAACUAUACAUAAGUAUGUGUUAUGUAUACUUCAUAUAUAAAAAUACAUAACUUUAAAAGGGCUUUAAAUGGUGCUGGGUAACCUAUAGAUAUCAAAGGAAUUUUAAUUAUUUAUCUUUAAUUAUAAACUUACACUACUCUUUGUCCUAUUAUUAGCAACUAUACUUGAAAUCCUGUUGAUUUUCCCCAAGCAUAAUAAAGAUUCUUCUCUGUAUUUUGA